rnacentral:snRNA from 14 species
AAACACAUGGGCUAGAUACCAUGAUCAACAAGUUGGUACACCCAGAGUAAGGCCUGUCCCUUGCACUGUGGGCAGGCUGACCCCUGCAAGUUUCUCUGAACGCGGGAAACUCAACUGCACAAUUUUGUGGCAAUGGGAGAUUGCAUUCAUGCUUCUCUCC